rnacentral:rRNA from 1 species
CCCUUAGAUGUCCGGGGCCGCACGCGCGCUACACUGAAGGAAUCAGCGUGGCUUUCUCCCUGACCCGAAAGGGUUGGGAAACCCGUUGAAUCUCCUUCGUGAUAGGGAUUGGGGCUUGAAAUUGUUCCCCAUGAACGAGGAAUUCCCAGUAUGCGCGAGUCAUAAGCUCGCGUUGAUUACGUCCCUGCCCUUUGUACACACCGCCCGUCGCUACUACCGAUUGAACGGUUUAGUGAGGGCCUCGGAUUGGUCUCGGCCCGCUCUUUACCGGGCGGCGCCGUUGGUCGAGAAGACGCUCGAACUUGAUCGUUUAGAGGAAGUAAAAGUCGUAACA